rnacentral:rRNA from 1 species
GGAAAGGCGCGCGAUACAGGGUGACAGCCCCGUACACAAAAAUGCACAUAUUGUGAGCUCGAUGAGUAGGGCGGGACACGUGGUAUCCUGUCUGAAUAUGGGGGGACCAUCCUCCAAGGCUAAAUACUCCUGACUGACCGAUAGUGAACCAGUACCGUGAGGGAAAGGCGAAAAGAACCCCGGCGAGGGGAGUGAAAAAGAACCUGAAACCGUGUACGUACAAGCAGUGGGAGCACGCUUAGGCGUGUGACUGCGUACCUUUUGUAUAAUGGGUCAGCGACUUAUAUUCUGUAGCAAGGUUAACCGAAUAGGGGAGCCGAAGGGAAACCGAGUCUUAACUGGGCGUUAAGUUGCAGGGUAUAGACCCGAAACCCGGUGAUCUAGCCAUGGGCAGGUUGAAGGUUGGGUAACACUAACUGGAGGACCGAACCGACUAAUGUUGAAAAAUUAGCGGAUG